rnacentral:rRNA from 1 species
UACGUAGGGUCCGAGCGUUGUCCGGAAUUAUUGGGCGUAAAGGGCUCGUAGGCGGUUUGUCGCGUCGGGAGUGAAAACCAUGGGCUUAACUCAUGGCUUGCUUCCGAUACGGGCAGACUAGAGGUAUGCAGGGGAGAAUGGAAUUCCUGGUGUAGCGGUGAAAUGCGCAGAUAUCAGGAGGAACACCGGUGGCGAAGGCGGUUCUCUGGGCAUUACCUGACGCUGAGGUGCGAAAGCGUGGGGAGCAAACAGG